rnacentral:lncRNA from 1 species
UGGAUACCAACUAGAGAAUAACUUUAAUACCUUCUCUACUGGCAGGCUCCACCAGUUGGAUGAUGAUGCUUCUCUCUCCCACAUCUUUCAAGCCCUCCUAAUUACUCCUGCAGGUGGCCACGAUGGAAGGGCCUCUUUCCAUCACAGGUGCCAUUAUGAGCCUUAUGCCCAGGACAGAAAUGUGACCUCAGUGACUACUGCCUUUCCUUUCUCCUGAUACCUUACCUGCCUUCCUUCUGCUCCCCGGCUGCUGUGCCUCGUUCUUCCUCACCUUCCUUCUAUGCAGGCUGCUCUUAGGGGAAGGGAGCCCUAUGUAGAAAUAUGACCCUGAACAGUGUAAAUGUAUUUGACAUCUAACUGAGCAUGAAAAUGGUUAGAUACAAUCACCCAGCCAUCAGUUUGAAACUAUGCUACAAAAGCAAUGAUAGAGUAAGUGACUUCUAUAAUUUCUGAAGAAACAACUAAAAGGGAACUUGCUGUUUUCUUGCAAAACUGCAUCCCCAGAGCAAAUGUACCAGCAGAAUGGGCCUGAUCAGAAUGUGGAUGGACAGAAGGCAAAGAGCAAUGUG